AGUGGAUCCUCACCGCCAUAAGUCCAAAAGUUCUGAAGAAAGGAGGUUGAGGAUCUCUGACCAGGACAGCUCCCUGAAGAUCAGCCAGCUGAAGAUGGAGGACACAGGCCCCUACCAUGCCUAUGUGUGCUCAGAGACCUCCAGAGGCCCCAGUGUGAGACACUUCACCCUGCUCGUCUACCGUGAGUACCCCUCGCCAGCCUCCUCAGUUUCCCCUCCUGCCAAAAUGCACUCGUAAGAGCUAGUCAAUUCACGCAAGUGUACCUAGGAAGGAAACACCAGAACCCUCAGGUGAGCAGACCCUACCUGCCAAGGUUCCUUGAUCUAGGCCCUCAGACACCUAACUUUCAUCUGUCUGUCUGUCUGUCUGUGCACUCACGUUCCAACAUCGUUUAGAACGAAGACGGGGGAAACUCGCAAGGAAACAGAGUAGGCUGGAGGAAGCUCUUGGUCUCUCAGAACACUGUG
rnacentral:lncRNA from 1 species